rnacentral:sRNA from 1 species
UGAUGAAGAUGACUCCCUAGCUCUACCAU